GUCCUUCCGGAAACCCGGAUUUGGGGCGGGCGGACAGAAACGCUCUGCCAAAGGCGCGGCUGUUGAGGAGUAGUUGUAAUUUCUUGAGUUUCCUAGAGAGGUGCUGCUGUGUAAGACAAAAAGUCUUGUGUGAGCGACUUGUUACCUUCAGAGCUAACUCAUCUUCUCCAUUCGCUAGUUUCUUCUUAUUAAAUAUUUGAGAAAGACUUCAUCGAACUGAAGUCUUCUCCAGAAAGCCUUGCUUGGUUAAUCCAAAGUGUUAUGGCUUCUGAAAUAGUGUGUCAUUCGCCGGUCCCUCGCAACAGCCCUCGUCCUUUGCAGUGCUGUACUUGGAGUUUAUGCAGUAGGCAUAGCUUCUUCCAGGUAGUUAUCACAAGUGAGCCCUGAAGGGCAGACUUCGUUGGUCUAGGUCAAGUGCACUAUGAAAGAAUCUUGGGAGUUAUUUUAUGUGUAUUUUUUUUCCAAGACCAAGAUUCUGAGAAUUUUUAUUAAACAAUGUGAGAUGAAAAUGUGAGACCCUGACUUAGAGCGUUUCUCCCUGGAAGAUAAAGCCCCUGGAUGUUUCCCAAGCUUGUUUUCCCUGAUCUUUAAAAAAUACAGCUAGAAAGAAGCUCUUUGUUCUCUAUAGCCAGCAAAAAGCCUUUUUGUUUCUAUACUGUACAACCAGAGAUGCCUGCCUUCCUGUGCCAAGGACACAGAGAUAAAAAUUCAGAAAGAACUCACUCCCCACUCCUGCCUUGUAAAUUUCACCAAGGACACCAAGGACUCUUCCCAAGUCCUCCCAACUCUCCUCCCAACUCCUCCCAAGUCUCCUCCCAACUCCUCCUAACUCCUCAGCUAGCUGUUAAAAGCCCCCUACUGUCACCGGGUCGAACUCCCCUGCCCUGCACCAGCAAAGGGACUUCAUCCUCAGCUAGCUGAUAAUAAAACCUCUUGCAGUUUGCAUCAGAGCCAAAGCUCCUUAUUAAAAUGUGGAAAAAAACAUCCUGCCAACGAACUAAUAAAAGAAUUGAUUCAGCCUAAAAGGAACAACAAAAAAAAAAAAACCUACAAGGCACUAGCAAAUCAAUGAUGGAAAUGGAGUUGAUGGACCAGACAGACAGAUUCUAAUAUACAGUGGCAUGAUUAGACCUUGAAGAAAGAAGGCAAGUCAUGAUAGGGCAGAUGAGCUUUGUUCCCCACCCCACACACACUAUGAGCAAUGCACUAUUAGGAGGAUGAAACUUUAUGUUUCUCUGACUUUUCAACUCAGCUUUCCUCUUGUGGUCAAAGUAUCCAUCAACUGAAAAUAAGGUUUGAGUUGAAUUCCGGGCUAUUGAUUCAGAAUUGUCACACUUUGUUUUGACCACAAGAGGAACAUUUGAAUUGAAAGGUCAUAGAAACAGGAAGGGUUUGUGCAGAUCCCCUCCAACACACCAAGGUGGAAGAAGCAGGUAGAAAUCUGUUUGACAAGCAGAGAGGUGUUUUGGCUGAAAAGAAAUAAAAAUGAUGAACAAGGAAAACAGCCAAAAAUAAACACACAAGAUGCAGAUAAAAACACCUGCUUAUGGCAUGCUGAAUCAAUAUGUUAUACUCCAAUAUUCAUAAUGAAAUGUAAAAAACAGGUCUUGCUAUCAAUAUCAACCCAUUUUUCCAGGGCUGAAAAGAUGGUGCAACAGUUUAGAGCACUGGUUGCUCUUAUAGAGAAUCUGGAGUCAGUUCCCAGCACCCACAUAGCAGUUCACAAACAUCCAUUAUUGCAAUUCCAGCGGAUCCAUCUCUCCUUCUUGGUCUCCAUGAGCACCAAACAUACACAUGUGCACAGACAUGCAUGCAGCAAACAUCCAUACAAAUAAAAUAAAAAUCUGGCCCGGUAUGGUUUUUCUUUCCCCUGAAUUUGGGACCUGACUUUAAGCAAGUACUCGUCCACUAAGCUACAUUUCUUUCCUCCUUUUAAACAUGACACCAUUGCCUACACUAGCAAGAUUUUGCUGAAAGGACCCAGAUAUAGCUGUCGCUUGUGAGACUAUGCUGGGGCCUAGCAAACNNNNNNNNNNNNNNNNNNNNNNNNNNNNNNNNNNNNNNNNNNNNNNNNNNNNNNNNNNNNNNNNNNNNNNNNNNNNNNNNNNNNNNNGCCAUCAGUGGAAAGAGAGGCCCAUUGAUCGUGCAAACUUUAUAUGCCUCAGUACAGGGGAAUGCCAGGGCCAAGAAGUGGGAGUGGGACGGUGGGGGGUGGGUGAGGGAGUGUGUGGGGGACUUUUGGGAUAACAUUGGAAAUGUAAAUGAAAUAAAUACCUAAUAAAAAUAGUUUUUCUG
ensembl:lincRNA Gm26774 predicted gene, 26774